rnacentral:rRNA from 1 species
UAGGGAAUCUUCGGCAAUGGGGGAACCCUGACCGAGCAACGCCGCCUGAGUGAAGAAGGUUUUCGGAUCGUAAAGCCCCGUUGUUAAGGAAGAACGAGUGUGAGAAUGGAAAGUUCAUACUGUGACGGUACUUAACCAGAAAGGGACGGCUAACUACGUGCCAGCAGCCGCGGUAAUACGUAGGUCCCGAGCGUUGUCCGGAUUUAUUGGGCGUAAAGCGAGCGCAGGCGGUUAGAUAAGUCUGAAGUUAAAGGCAGUGGCUCAACCAUUGUAGGCUUUGGAAACUGUUUAACGUGAGUGCAGAAGGGGAGAGUGGAAUUCCAUGUGUAGCGGUGAAAUGCGUAGAUAUAUGGAGGAACACCGGUGGCGAAAGCGGCUCUCUGGUCUGUAACUGACGCUGAGGCUAGAAAGCGUGGGUAGCAAACAGG